CACCGCGGUUAUACGAAAGACCCUAGUUGAUAAGCGCGGCGUAAAGAGUGGUUAGGGGUAAAAUAAAAUAAAGCUGAAAAACCCUCUAAGCUGUUAUAAGCCUCUCGAAGGCAAGAAACCCAAAUACGAAAGUAGCUUUAGACAAAAUUACCUGACCCCACGAAAGCUAAGAAA
rnacentral:rRNA from 1 species